rnacentral:rRNA from 1 species
GACGAACGCUGGCGGCGUGCUUAACACAUGCAAGUCGAACGGAAAGGCCCAGCUUGCUGGGUGCUCGAGUGGCGAACGGGUGAGUAACACGUGGGUGAUCUGCCCCUAACUUCGGGAUAAGCUUGGGAAACUGGGUCUAAUACCGGAUAGGACAAUCGUUUAGUGUCGGUUGUGGAAAGGUUUUUCGGUUAGGGAUGAGCCCGCGGCCUAUCAGCUUGUUGGUGGGGUAAUGGCCUACCAAGGCGUCGACGGGUAGCCGGCCUGAGAGGGUGGACGGCCACAUUGGGACUGAGAUACGGCCCAGACUCCUACGGGAGGCAGCAGUGGGGAAUAUUGCACAAUGGGCGCAAGCCUGAUGCAGCGACGCCGCGUGGGGGAUGACGGCCUUCGGGUUGUAAACCUCUUUCGACAGGGACGAAGCUUUGGUGACGGUACCUGUAUAAGAAGCACCGGCUAACUACGUG